GGCAUUUGUGUCUUAUUUUAGGGUUCGUAUUACCUAGUCCUCAGUUAUCUAUGUUGUGUCUUGUGUACUAUUAUUUGUCUGUUUGUCUUUUUAAUUUUUAGCCAUGGUGUUGUCAGUUUAUUUUCGAUCUUUGAGUUUGAAUGUCCAACUGGCAUUUUUCGCCCCUCCUUUGUCAUGUCAAGCAUUUAAUGCCUUACCUUAUGAGAUGGGUUUU
rnacentral:lncRNA from 1 species